GGUAGAGGGAGAAGCAGGCUCCAUGCACCGGGAGCCUGACGUGGGAUUCGAUCCUGGGUCUCCAGGAUCGCGCCCUGGGCCAAAGGCAGGCGCCAAACCGCUGCGCCACCCAGGGAUCCCGAAUUCUGCUUUUUCAAUUCCUCCCCAGAAGAUUCUGAUGCAGGUGGUCCAUGGACCAUGCUGACAGGUCUCGUAGAUUACAGGGCACCAGCCUGCCUAAGGUAAAUUUAUCCCUAAACAGAAAUCCUUCCCUACUGGAUACUCCCAGACCUGAACCCUUUCCCCUCAAGUUUUCCUGAGGUCUCUGAGACUUUCUGCCCUUGACCAUGGCAUCAUCCAUUCAUCACAAGGAAUGGAGGCUCAGGUUGUAGGGACUGGCAAGACCUCUGUUUUGGAGUAGCACAGGCAUCCCUUCCUUGGCACCAUAACCCAACCCUGGAGAGUUUUCAUCAGGUCGCUGGGAGCCUCCAACUUCCCCUCACCAGGAGGUGAAGAAGCAUUAUCCCUGGAAAAAGCAGGCUCAUGACAUUGAGCAAGGAUGGAAACCUCUUGCUCCAAUCUCUUUUUUCUUUCUUUCCCAAAGCCUCAGGGCUGCCUGCCCCUGCCCCUCCCACCUCUGUUGCCUUUGCAGGUUCAAGUGCACCAUAAUUUCAGCACUCUUGAACAAAAUGCAGCUCAGAGGCGCUCCACCCCUACCAGUGCCCUGCACUCAGAAUCCCUGCCCACUCCGCUCCCGAGGACACCACUCUGCUUCCAGAUCCUAGAGAGCUUCCGCCAGGAUAAACAGGAGUUUGGUAACUCUUCUGCUCACAACUCUGCUUUAAGAAUCUGAGCGGGGACCUUGUUUACUGGCCCCUUCGAAGUUCUUCUAUCCUCAAACCAAAAGAAGAGGAAACAGGGUUCUGCAAGAAAGAAUCACAUUCUUAGCUUUUCCAACUGUGUCUGAAGAAAGGGUUUGGCUAUUGAGUACUUCCUGUGUGCGAGACUGUCCCAGGCACUCUGGAUAUGUGUCUUACUCUUCAGGACAACUCUAUGAAAUGUCAGCGGGAAGUCGGUUCAAAGAGAGGAAACAUCUCCCUCAAGGUCACACAGUCAAGCGCCCCUUCUUCCGCCGCUUGUGCUCCGAGGAAUCCUCGGAGCUGGAGCUGGAGCUGGAGCUGCUCCUCCUCCUGCUGCGGCCCUUGCGGCCGCCCUGGGCCCGGGACACGUCAGCGGCAGAGGCCGAGCGGCGGAUGCUGGUGGCCUGCGCUGGGAGGUCCAGCUGGACGCUGCGGACGCUUUGGAUGCUCUUGCGGUCGUCCUCCUCAGAGUCGGGCUCCAGGCUGCUCCUCUGGAACGGGACGGGUUUGUAGCUCAAGACUUCGUUGAUGGCGGCCUCCAGGUCUGGGUCCAGCUCAAGGCCACAUGCUCACCUGGAACUCUUUAAGCUGCCAUCAUCGGAAGCUGCCUUGGAAGGCCCCUUGUUUUUGGACAACCAUGACUUGACUCCGUCGACGCGGUCCUCCAGCUCUGAGUCCACAUCUGAGUCCCCCUCGCUGUGGGAUGAGGAGCAGAAAGCACACUUACGCGCUCGCUCGCUCAAUAACUUGGACCUGAACCCAGCUGCUGAGGAUGGAGCCACGGCCACCUCUGGCAUCAGCAGGACUGUGGUGAGGACCGCAUGCCCCAGCACACCUGUGUGAGUGCACGCGCAUGUGUGUGUGCACACAUGCAUGUGCGCACAUGCCCUUGCCUUGCAGUGGUCUAGAAUAUGAUCUUAAAUGUGCAUUUUAUCAGCCCUCGGAGCUCUCUACAGCCCAAGGAUGGCAGGGCUAGAACGCGCAGGGGACACAUAGUAGCGUACCCAGAAUACGAAUUUUCCUCCUUACAUUCAGGGCAGCGAAUGGGUUGAGAAGCUGGCCUCCCUGCCCUCGCCUUCCUUUUAGUUUCAAGCCUAUAGAUGAUGUUUAGGUUCUUUUCCUUAAAUAAUCAGGCCCGUAAACAAACUCCAGGGGCAGGCAGGCUCAGGGGGCAGUUGAAAUUUUAAAUGGUCGGAAUUAAACCUCGAGUCAAAUACAA